rnacentral:rRNA from 1 species
GAUGAACGCUAGCGGCAGGCUUAAUACAUGCAAGUCGUGGGGCAGCAUGAGUAGCAAUACUUGAUGGCGACCGGCAAACGGGUGAGGAACACGUACACAACCUUCCUUCAAGCGGGGAAUAGCCCAGAGAAAUUUGGAUUAAUACCCCAUAAUAUAUUUGAUAAGGCAUCUUAUUAAUAUUAAAGCUUCGGCACUUGAUGAUGGGUGUGCGGCUGAUUAGAUAGUUGGCGGGUAACGGCCCACCAAGUCUACGAUCAGUAGCUGAUGUGAGAGCAUGAUCAGCCACACGGGCACUGAGACACGGGCCCGACUCCUACGGGAGGCAGCAGUAAGGAAUAUUGGACAAUGGACGAAAGUCUGAUCCAGCCAUGCCGCGUGAAGGAUUAAGGUCCUCUGGAUUGUAAACUUCUUUUAUAUGGGACGAAAAAAGGGCAUUCUUGUUCACUUGACGGUACCAUAUGAAUAAGCACCGGCUAACUCCGUGCCAGCAG